rnacentral:misc_RNA from 1 species
GAUGAAGAACGCAGCGAAAUGCGAUAAGUAAUGUGAAUUGCAGAAUUCAGUGAAUCAUCGAAUCUUUGAACGCACAUUGCGCCCGCCAGUAUUCUGGCGGGCAUGCCUGUUCGAGCGUCAUUACAACCCUCAGGCCCCCGGGCCUGGCGUUGGGGAUCGGCGGAGCCCCCCGUGGGCACACGCCGUCCCCCAAAUGCAGUGGCGGUCCCGCCGCAGCUUCCAUCGCGUAGUAGCUAACACCUCGCGACUGGAGAGCGGCGCGGCCACGCCGUAAAACACCCAACUCUUCUGAAGUUGACCUCGAAUCAGGUAGGAAUACCCGCUAAACUUAAGCAUAUCAAUAAGCGGAGGA